rnacentral:rRNA from 1 species
CUACGGGUCGCUGCAGACGCGAAACCUUUACAAUACACGCAAGUGUGAUAAGGGGAUUCUACGUGCUCAUGUUUUGCAUGGGCUUUUGUUAAGAUUAGAACUCUUAGCGAAUAAGGGGUGGGUAAGACCGGUGCCAGCCGCCGCGGUAACACCGGCGCCCCAAGUGGCAAUCACGAUUAUUGGGCCUAAAGCGUUCGUAGCCGGUCUAAUAAGUCCUUUGUGAAAUCGUCGUGCUUAACGCGACGGCAUGCAAAGGAUACUGUUAGACUCGGGACCGGGAGGGGUUAGAGGUAUGCCUUGGGGACUGGUAAAAUGGUAUAAUCCAAGGUAGACCGCCGAUGGCGAAGGCAUCUAACCAGAACGGAUCCGACGGUGAGGAACGAAAGCUAGGGGAGCAAACCGGAUUAGAUACCCGUGUAGUC